rnacentral:lncRNA from 1 species
UGUGGAACUUAAAACAGAAGGAGGGACUGAAAUAUGGGCCGUGUUCAGUGAUAUGCUCCCAAAACCUAGAAGUUGGAAAUGGGAAGUCACUUUACAAUGGAGAAGCCUAGUAAACAGCAAAGACUGCGUUGGCCAAGUGAUCAAGAUUAACCUCAACAGUGGGCUAAAAUGAUUUUCUCAAAAUAUUGAAAGAGGAGCUUGCAGAAUCUAGUUCUUCUGCCACUCAAUCUAUUCCUUUUUCCACUACAUCAUGGGACUAUGCUUUGUACUCCCAACCAAGUCUGGAGUGCUUGGCAGUGACGUAUGGCCCUCCACACCAACCGUAGGUUGCACUCUGCCCUCUGCACUUGGCCCUGGGCUACAGUCCUACCCAAGGGAAGUCGUAACAAUUCAUUGCCCUAUUUCCUGCAAGAAGGUCAAGGCUAGGGCUCACGAAGCCAAGCAAAAGAAAUUUUUCUCAAAUGGCCAGAAAGUCACCUUCUUCAGCUUCUUCAGCUCCUUCACCUUCACCCUUUUCUCUUCAGGGAAAGCUGCCCUUCUCC